rnacentral:rRNA from 1 species
CACCGCGGUUAGACGAGAGGCCCCAGUUGAUAUUUUAACGGCGUAAAGGGUGGUUAAGGACUAACAAGAUUUUUUAAAGCCAAAUGGUCCCUUGGCCGUCAUACGCUUCUGGGUAUCCGAGGUCCUAUAUGCGAAAGUAGCUUUAAUAACCAGCCUGACCCCACGAAAGCUGAGAAA